CAGGAUAAAUAUUGAUUAAAAGACUAUUUAAAUUGAUAAGAAAGCAAGUAAAUAAAGAGAAUUAAAUAAAAGUUAGAUGCAACUAUGGAUUGGAUUCUCAGGAUCUCAACUGUUUUUUUGUUAGACAGCUGGUAUCCUUUUUUAACAUGCCUUUGCUUAGGUAUCUAAAUAAUAAAGAUAUAACCUAUCUUAGAGAACAC
rnacentral:lncRNA from 1 species